rnacentral:rRNA from 1 species
UGAGCAAUCUGCCCUUCUCUUUGGAAUAAGCGUUGGAAACGACGUCUAAUGCCGAAUACGACCUCCUUUCGCAUGAUCGGAGGUGGAAAGCUCCGGCGGAGAAGGAUGAGCUCGCGGCCUAUCAGCUAGUUGGUGUGGGUAACGGCCCACCAGGGCGACGACGGGUAGCCGGCCUGAGAGGGUGACCGGCCACACUGGGACUGAGACACGGCCCAGACUCCUACGGGAGCAGCAGG